CGAAUAAGCAUCGGCUAACUCCGUGCCAGCAGCCGCGGUAAUACGGAGGAUGCAAGCGUUAUCCGGGAUUUAUUGGGUUUAAAGGGUGCGCAGGCGGCGAGGUAAGUCAGUGGUGAAAUGAUUCAGCUUAACUGAAUCCCUGCCAUUGAAACUGCUUUGCUUGAAUUUGGUUGAAGUGGGUGGAAUGUGUGGUGUAGCGGUGAAAUGCAUAGAUAUCACACAGAAUAUCGAUAGCGAAGGCAGCUCACUAAGCCAUGAUUGACGCUCAGGCACGAAAGUGUGGGGAUCAAACAGGAUUAGAUACCCUGGUAGUCCACACUGUAAACGAUGAUAACUAGCUGUUUGCGAUAUACUGUAAGUGGCUAAGCGAAAGCGAUAAGUUAUCCACCUGGGGAGUACGACCGCAAGGUUGAAACUCAAAGGAAUUGACGGGGGCCCGCACAAGCGGAGGAACAUGUGGUUUAAUUCGAUGAUACGCGAGGAACCUUACCCGGGCUCGAACGGCUAUAGAAUAUAUAAGAGAUUAUAUAGUCAGCAAUGACUGUAGUCGAGGUGCUGCAUGGUUGUCGUCAGCUCGUGCCGUGAGGUGUCGGCUUAAGUGCCAUAACGAGCGCAACCCUUGUUGUUAGUUGCCAGCGGGUAAAGCCGGGGACUCUAACGAGACUGCCACCGUAAGGUGUGAGGAAGGGGGGGAUGACGUCAAAUCAGCACGGCCCUUACGUCCGGGGCGACACACGUGUUACAAUGGGGGGUACAGAGGGCUGCUACUAUGCGAAUAGAAGCCAAUCUCUAAAACCCUUCUCAGUUCGGAUCGGAGUCUGCAACUCGACUCCGUGAAGUUGGAUUCGCUAGUAAUCGCGCAUCAGCCAUGGCGCGGUGAAUACGUUCCCGGGCCUUGUACACACCGCCCGUCAAGCCAUGGAAGCCGAGGGUGCCUGAAGUUCGUAACCGAAAGGAGCGACCUAAGGCAAAAUCGGUGACUGGGGCU
rnacentral:rRNA from 1 species